GAUGAACGCUGGCGGCGUGCCUAAUACAUGCAAGUCGAGCGAACGGACGAGAAGCUUGCUUCUCUGAUGUUAGCGGCGGACGGGUGAGUAACGCGUGGAUAACCUACCUAUAAGACUGGGAUAACUUCGGGAAACCGGAGCUAAUACCGGAUAAUAUUUUGAACCGCAUGGUUCAAAAGUGAAAGACGGUCUUGCUGUCACUUAUAGAUGGAUCCGCGCUGCAUUAGCUAGUUGGUAAGGUAACGGCUUACCAAGGCAACGAUGCAUAGCCGACCUGAGAGGGUGAUCGGCCACACUGGAACUGAGACACGGUCCAGACUCCUACGGGAGGCAGCAGUAGGGAAUCUUCCGCAAUGGGCGAAAGCCUGACGGAGCAACGCCGCGUGAGUGAUGAAGGUCUUCGGAUCGUAAAACUCUGUUAUUAGGGAAGAACAUAUGUGUAAGUAACUGUGCACAUCUUGACGGUACCUAAUCAGAAAGCCACGGCUAACUACGUGCCAGCAGCCGCGGUAAUACGUAGGUGGCAAGCGUUAUCCGGAAUUAUUGGGCGUAAAGCGCGCGUAGGCGGUUUUUUAAGUCUGAUGUGAAAGCCCACGGCUCAACCGUGGAGGGUCAUUGGAAACUGGAAAACUUGAGUGCAGAAGAGGAAAGUGGAAUUCCAUGUGUAGCGGUGAAAUGCGCAGAGAUAUGGAGGAACACCAGUGGCGAAGGCGACUUUCUGGUCUGUAACUGACGCUGAUGUGCGAAAGCGUGGGGAUCAAACAGGAUUAGAUACCCUGGUAGUCCACGCCGUAAACGAUGAGUGCUAAGUGUUAGGGGGUUUCCGCCCCUUAGUGCUGCAGCUAACGCAUUAAGCACUCCGCCUGGGGAGUACGACCGCAAGGUUGAAACUCAAAGGAAUUGACGGGGACCCGCACAAGCGGUGGAGCAUGUGGUUUAAUUCGAAGCAACGCGAAGAACCUUACCAAAUCUUGACAUCCUUUGACAACUCUAGAGAUAGAGCUUUCCCCUUCGGGGGACAAAGUGACAGGUGGUGCAUGGUUGUCGUCAGCUCGUGUCGUGAGAUGUUGGGUUAAGUCCCGCAACGAGCGCAACCCUUAAGCUUAGUUGCCAUCAUUAAGUUGGGCACUCUAAGUUGACUGCCGGUGACAAACCGGAGGAAGGUGGGGAUGACGUCAAAUCAUCAUGCCCCUUAUGAUUUGGGCUACACACGUGCUACAAUGGACAAUACAAAGGGCAGCGAAACCGCGAGGUCAAGCAAAUCCCAUAAAGUUGUUCUCAGUUCGGAUUGUAGUCUGCAACUCGACUACAUGAAGCUGGAAUCGCUAGUAAUCGUAGAUCAGCAUGCUACGGUGAAUCCGUUUCCGGG
rnacentral:rRNA from 1 species